ACAUCUUAUACUCUGCUCUCUUGUUUUUUCUUUCAUUUUGAAGAAUUUAUAUGUAUUAUGUAGGUCAUUUACAAGGGAUUUUGGUGUAUAUUAUAUUAUUGAAUUUCUCCACCCAUUCAGUUGAACGGCAUAAAUAUUUCUUCUCUGCAUCCUCUUUGGAUUUCUUCAUAGGAUUUGAAAUUGUUAGGGUAGGGUACUAUCAGGAAAAAUUCAUAGGUAUUCUAUAGGGAAGAAUACACGUAUAUGAAGUUAUGAGUUCAGCAAUAAGAAAAUUUAUGCAUUCAAAUUCAAACAUUUAUGCAUUUUGUACUAAAUAAGAUUCAUGUUUCCUGUUUUAAAUAGAAUAUAUGCAUUUCUAAUCGCAUUGUACAUUGCAUUUAGUUCUGAGCAAAAUCAAUAGAGUUGAGAAUUAAUUGCAAACUGUAAAAUGAUGUAUCAUAGAGAAGCUUGUUCUUCCAAUUAGAGAAACCCUUUGCAUGCUGCGGAAUAUCUGUCAGGAGCCCUUUUUGGCAGACGUUUUCGGAAGAUUUGUCAGGAUUAGUAAUUUAAUAUUUCAGGUUUUUAUUCUCCAUUUGUAAUCUUCUUCUUUUUUUUUUUUUUUGGUUAGUUUGCUUUCUGAGAAAAGGGUUUAGAAAUUACAAGAACGCUUGUCAAGACUUAAAGUACCUUUCUGAAUAACAGCAUUGGGAUUUUAGCCACUUUUUCGUCUAGUGACUAAGCUCAGUUGAAUUCGAGGUUCUUGAUGUGUACUUCAAUCAAUUCUGCCAAUUGUGCGCUUGUUUUCUCGAAGGUGUCAGUGAUUUGCACGGUGCAUUUCCUGGAGUACCUGUUUUCUUUGUGCUUCUUCAUCCUCCAUUUUUUUAAUUAGAUAUUUCGGAUUCUCGCUUGUCUACUUUAUGUGUAGGGGCUUCCUCUGUUUGUUGUUCAGGACAAGUUGUAUUUCCUUUCGUCUCCAUUUGGUCCUCAGUCUUCUUUGUUUGUGUCUGUCUGACUUGUUCUUGUCCUAUUUCUGCCAUGAUGGCACUAGGUUUUGUGUGGCAAGUAUUUUGGCUCUUGCCGAGGCUAUUGUGCAGAGGCUUGACAACCUUGUCAUCCUAUUUGAUGGAUGCAUUUGAUGCUUUCAUACUCUUCCCUUUUUGUUAAUGAGGACCGUUUUGGUUUUGGUUGAGAUAAUUGUGUCCUCUUUUGUUGAUUUUGGGUAUUCAGCAAAAGAGGAAUAGCUGGGUUUUAUCGUUAGCACCUGUAUGCAAGGAAUUCAGUGGACAAAAUUGUGAUCAGAAUGUUUAUUUUGAGACUGUUACAUAGCAUAAAAACUUUAUUUUAUAGAUUCUUUUUUUAAUAUGUUCCAUGGCCAUGUUGUGGCAAAAGUGAAAUGGAUGAUAAAUUAGGUUCCUGUAAACAAAUUUGACCGACAUAAAAGGUUUCCCUACCAUCAAAUUUACACUACAAAUGCAUUACAUGUAUUAAUAUUAUAAUAUAUUUCCUCUGUUUUCUAAGAUAGACAUUCUUACCCAAAAGCCAGUACAACAACUUAUGUUUCCUGUCACUUGGGAGAGAUCUCUUCCCUUCUCAGUAGUCACAAUUGUGAGAUUUCUACAGAAUUGAGAUGAGAAUGCGAAGGUAGAGGUGGUUAUCCUACAUUGUAGUACAUUGUUCCAUUCUUACAUAUACAAUGUGCAACCUUACAUCCUUAAAUAAAUAUAUCUAUAGGUGAAAGCAGUUAUCCCCUUGCUGUGAAUACUUGGUUGUUGUAAAUGCAAUACUGGAGCUCUUGAAUAUCAUGCAAUGCUACUAUAUAAACUUUGUAUCUGUAUGCCCUAUUUUAGUAAGCUAAUGGUUGAUCUUGGCAGUUUGUGUUACAUGUUAUGUGUGGUAGGGGGAUAAAUAUACAUAUUACCCUAUGUUUUUUUGUAUAGUAUUCUGAAUCCAAUUACUGCAAAAUUAAAAUGAAGGAAUGAUAGCUAGUGUGUAUUUUGCAAGUAGUUAGUGUUAUUUUCUAUUCAAAAUUGUAGAAAUAAUAUAAAUGAAUAAUUAAAUAAAUAACGGAUUAUUCAGCCAAAUCCCCUGUAACUGUAGAUGGAGUUAUUCAGAAGAGGGAGGUUUUAAGCUUGAGAAUAGGAUUUAUUAAUGAGAAUUCCCCAACAGUAAGUGUCCUAUGUUUUUCUUUAUAAACUUCGAACGAUUUAUAGAAUAACUAUGUAUUUAUGAAUUUUUCCUUAUAAAAUAUCUAUUUAUUUAUGUAUUUAUACUACUAUAAAAUUUCUCCCAACGAUCUAUAGAAUACCCAUGUAUUUAUGUAUUUUUCCUUAUAGAAUAUCUAUUUAUAUAUGUAUUUAUGCUACUGUGAAAUUUCCAAUAUGCACAGGGUUUCACAAUCCUAUUAUAUAGUUAGCUCCUAAGCUUAUUAUUGGCAGAAUAGCUGCCGAAGAUUUGUCAGGAGCUCUUUUCGGCAGUAAUUCUUAUUAAUUUUAUAUAGGAUUAGUAAUUUAACGUUUGAUGUUUUUCUGCACCAUUUGCAAACAUUUUUUUGGUUUUCAUGUUAGUUUGCUUUCUGAGAAAAGGGUUUAGAAAUUACAAAAACGCUUGUUAAGACUUCGGUUACCUUUCAGAAUAACAGCAUUGAGAUUUUAGAGCAAUUUUUUGUUCUUAUGAAUUUUAUUUCUAAAAUUUCAGCUAACAUGGGUUUCAUUUGAGUAAUUUAAAAACGAAUUUGAUGGGCUCCUUAAUGGAAGGGUUGAAGUGAUUGCCGAACAUGUAUACUCAUGUUCGUGUUUUGUCUUCUCUUUAAAGUACAUGCUGAGAUUCGCUUUUAGGGUUUUGAUAUUUACACUUCAUAGCGGAAUUAAUAUAUAAACUGUAUAUUGAAUUGUGCUUGAGGAAAGUGGGCCAAAUAUUGUAAUUAUGAGUUUAUAAUGUCGUGAGAUUUCCAAGCCAAAGAACACCGUAGACUAAGACAGAAAUAAAAAAAUAUUGAACUCAAGUAACUUGACCAUUCGAUUAGAGUCAUAAAUCAGGAAAAACAUUGGAAAGGUGAAGAUUUAGGCUAUACUAGCAGUUUUUCAAAUAGUUGAAACAUUCCUUGCCUCGUGCCCGAAAACAAUUUUCAACUUGCAACCAAUAUUUUCAUUUAAAAGACUGCAAAACAGUUUCCAAAAUAGUUGAAAUAUUCCUUGACUCGCACCUGAAAACAAAUUCAAUCCAUUUUUACGAAUAACUGUCCAGAUUCAAUUCGCAACGUGCCCUAACGGCACUCAAAUUACAAUGGCCUUUGCAAAAAGCAGAUCGUGUUACCGUUGGAAAAAGCAGGAAUUCACUUCUUUUAAAAGGAGAUAUACUAGAGAAGCAGGGCAGAUUGUAUAGUUCUUUAAAUUUUUUUGGUUUUCUUUGAAGUUUAAUUUUUUUUGGCGUGGCCAUGCCUCUGAGUCUUGCUUUCCUGAGUUUUAGUUUGGAAUUUUUACUUUUUAUACUCAGAUGUUUUCAUUUUAUUUCUGGGUUUGAAUUGCAAUUUUUUGUUUUGAUAUUUUGUGUAUUUCUUUUCUGUGGGUUGUCAUUCUUAAUGGGCAUGGAGGUAGGCAGCAGCAAGAAUUCUUCUUUCUGGAGUGGCUUAUUGGAGUUAUGGACAGAAAAUGCUAAGACAUUUGGAAUUUUCAACAAUUUGCUGGGAUUUUUGGGAGGUAGAUCCCCUGAAUAAAUGUAGCAUCACCAUACGUGGAACAAAUCUUCUUCAGUAGAUGAUCCAGAAAGAUGGUCCAAAGGGCAAGCUUAUUUCACCACCCCACCAAUACUUUCACCACAUCUUGGUCACCAUGCCGUCAAGUGUCUAGAAAUGUUUGGAGGCUUGAAUGGGUAGCUGAUGAAGUCCAAUAAUGAAUGUAAUAUUUAAAAUGUUAGGAAUCUUGAAUGGGCUGCUGAAUGGAACAUUUAAUAUUUAAAAUUGAAGAAAACGUUGCACUUUUGAAUCAAUUGCUGAAACCAGUAUUUGUAAACAGAUUUGUUGUUUAAUGCCAAAUUUUUAUUUGGAAGGGGUUGAAUUGGCCCCCUUCCCAAGACUUUGGGGAAUGGUUAUUUGGCCAUGACCAUUCUUUUAUAUUAUUAUUUAUUGCACAAUUUAGCAUUUUAAAAUUUUUUUUUAUUUCAUUACAUCUAAUGAUUAGGCUGUUGAAUCAAUUGCUGAAACCAGUAUUUGUAAACAGAUUUGUUGUUUAAUGCCAAAUUUUUAUUUGGAAGGGGUUGAAUUGGCCCCCUUCCCAAGACUUUGGGGAAUGGUUAUUUGGCCAUGACCAUUCUUUUAUAUUAUUUUUUAUUGCACAAAAUUUAGCAUUUUU